rnacentral:rRNA from 1 species
AUUGAACGCUGGCGGCAGGCUUAACACAUGCAAGUCGAGCGGGGUGAUGGUGCUUGCACUAUCACUAGCGGCGGACGGGUGAGUAAUGCUUCGGAAUCUGCCUAUUAGUGGGGGACAACAUCUCGAAAGGGAUGCUAAUACCGCAUACGUCCUACGGGAGAUAGCAGGGGAUCACCUGUGACCUUGCGCUAAUAGAUGAGACUAAGUCGGAUUAGCUAGUUGGUGGGGUAAAGGCCUACCAAGGCGACGAUCUGUAGCGGGUCUGAGAGGAUGAUCCGCCACACUGGGACUGAGACACGGCCCAGACUCCUACGGGAGGCAGCAGUGGGGAAUAUUGGACAAUGGGGGGAACCCUGAUCCAGCCAUGCCGCGUGUGUGAAGAAGGCCUUAUGGUUGUAAAGCACUUUAAGCGAGGAGGAGGCUUACCUAGUUAAUACCUGGGAUAAGUGGACGUUACUCGCAGAAUAAGCACCGGCUAACUCUGUGCCAGCAGCCGCGGUAA